GCCCUCCAGGGGCUGAGCGGAGGAGCCCAGCAGCGUACCCCAGGGGCGGCCUCCUCGACCUUCAAAGGCCAAGAGGCAAGCGGACGGUAGCUGGCGGGAAUUCCGGAGGACCGGCCAUCCCGUACCCGCGGAGCUGGUGUUCUCGCUACCAGGCCCGGGAGUGCGCACGUUCCUGACCCAAUCUGGCCCGGCUCGGGCUGGCGGCCAAAUCCGGCUCUGCGCACAGAUCGUCCUGUCCUAAAGUCCUACACUUUGGUACAAGAUGAAGGUAGACGAAGAAAUAAUGAAGAAAACAAAUUCAACGUAUUUUCCAAGAACACAUUUCUUUUAAACAACUCCUAAAGAGAUAGUGUAAAACAUUGUAAUAGAGUGUCUUACUCUAUCCCACAUAGUUGGGGUGGGGUCCCUGGCGGCGGGCGGAUAAAGUGUAUUGUGAACAUUUCAACAUCCUGCUGUAGAGGGCAGCACGGCCCCUCUUUUGCAAAAUGUUGAGCACUCAUGAGAAGGAAAAUGAAAAGCAAAGCUCUUGA